rnacentral:rRNA from 1 species
UACGUAGGGUGCGAGCGUUAAUCGGAAUUACUGGGCGUAAAGCGUGCGCAGGCGGUUGGGUAAGACAGAUGUGAAAUCCCCGGGCUCAACCUGGGAACUGCAUUUGUGACUGCACGGCUCGAGUGCGGCAGAGGGGGAUGGAAUUCCGCGUGUAGCAGUGAAAUGCGUAGAUAUGCGGAGGAACACCGAUGGCGAAGGCAAUCCCCUGGGCCUGCACUGACGCUCAUGCACGAAAGCGUGGGGAGCAAACAGG